rnacentral:rRNA from 1 species
AGCGAACGCUGGCGGCAGGCUUAACACAUGCAAGUCGAACGCUCGUAGCAAUACGGGAGUGGCAGACGGGUGAGUAACGCGUGGGAAUAUGCCUUUAGGUUCGGAAUAACUCAGGGAAACUUGAGCUAAUACCGGAUAAGCCCGUGAGGGGAAAGAUUUAUCGCCAAAAGAUUAGCCCGCGUCCGAUUAGCUAGUUGGUGAGGCAACUGCUCACCAAGGGGACGAUCGGUAGCUGGUCUGAGAGGAUGAUCAGCCACAUUGGGACUAAGAAACGGCCCAACCUCGACGGGGAGGCAGCAGUGGUGAAGUUUGGAAAAUGGGCGCAAGCGUGAUCCAGCCAUGCCGCGGGAGUGAUGAAGGCCUUAGGGUUGUAAAGCUCUUUUGUCCGGGAAGAUAAUGACGGUACCGGAAGAAUAAGCCCCGGCUAACUUCGUGCCAGCCGCCGCGGUAA